GGAGAGGUGUCUGAGCGGUUGAAAGAGAUGGUCUUGAAAACCAUUAUACCCGAAAGGGUAUCGUGAGUUCGAAUCUCACCCUCUCCG
rnacentral:tRNA from 2 species